CUCUCUCUAUCUCUCUCUCUCUCUCUCUCCCUUACCUCGUUCUCUCACUCAUAUUCUCUACCCAAUUUUAUCUGGUUUGUUUAUAUUUGAAAUUUUUUUAGGGUAUGGGUAUGGCUGAUUUAGGAAUGGGUUUAGUUUUGGGUAUUGGUAUUUAAUUUAAUUCCUUUUGCUUUGAGAUUUAUGAAAUUCAAUAUGCCAUUAGUUUUGGAUUUAGUUUUGGGUAUUUUUGUUGCUUCUUUAGUGCCCAGGGGAGCUGCAGUGUUAGGGGAGAUUAAGUGUUGGGGGAAACUGGGUUCUGAGCCUUCUAAUGCACAUAUUGUUUUGGCACAGAUUUGGCAGCUACUGAAAGAGUUGGGUGGUGAAUUCUUACAGUUGAGAUGAUCUAUAAGCAGUAGUUCGAUAAUGGGAAAGCAAAAAAUGUACAGAUGUCCUAUCUAGAGUCCCAUGCAGGUGCAGAACUAGAACUUCAAGAUCAGAGGGGUUGAAAUGAAGGUGACAAUGGAAAACUUUUAAAUGUAAAGGGGGGAAUGGAAAUUUUCUGGGUUCAAGGGGGCCAAAGGUGAAUGUAAUAAUGGAAUUUGAAAAUUUUCAAGAGCCAGGUUAAGAUGUUUAAGGGGCUAAAAGUGAGGAUAAUGGUGUAUUUUCAUCUGUGCGGUUAAUGGUGUAUUAAAAUUAAAAGUCAACAAUUGAACAUUUAAAUAUUUAUGAAUUUUGGUUAUGAAUUUUUGCUAA